GGGGACUUCUUCCAGUCGCACAGAGUGCAUUCAGGACAGAUGCAAUUCUGUGCUUUGCCUACCAGAUGUAGCUUUCCUUUCUGAAGACCCAGAAGCCCAGUACAGCUGGGCUAGCAUUGCAGAGAAAGCUGUCUUAAGAGAUCUGGAGGAAACCAGAGCAUGCUUGUAUAACGGUCUCCUGAAGCAGGUGUGCUUGCAACAGAUGCCCUCUUUAUAGAUGAACACCCCCAUGCUGCCCCUCAUCCUCAUCCCAUCCUGAGAAUUCUGACUCCGUAGCAGUCAUGGGAUGAAUGGCAAGAGAACAGGAGCAGCUGCAUGCAUCCACCUUUUAUGGACAAAAGCAAAAGCAUCCUGCUUUCCAGCCCAGCCCAGAAAGCUGUACUUUGAUUGUGGUCCUGUUGUUCACGGACCAUGCACACCUGGCUGAGGAGAGGGCUCCUGAAGUGCUGGCCCAACUGUGAAACUGGGGGAGAGGGAAGAGGAAAAUUCACUUGGAGCUGGUCUGCAGAUGAGUUUGUCCUAUGAAUAGAAACCAAAAGUUGUCAGUAAAUUCAUGUCAGGUGAAGCAAACAUUUUUCUUUGCCUCAGUAGAUAAUAUUUAUUUUCCUUUAGCCAUAUAAGAACAUAAAACUUUAAUACACCCCUAAACAAAGCACUCAUUUGAAGUCAAAGUUCAUUUAGAGAAUGUUGAAAUUUAACAUGUACCAUUCAAGAAUUAAUUAUCUGAGCUAGAACAAUUAAAU
rnacentral:lncRNA from 1 species